GCUGCCGGCGUUGCCCUCUCCCAAGAUGGCGGCCAGGUCGCCUGCUCGGGCCUCCCAGGCGACUUUGCCCCACUGCGCCCGCGCUCUCUUCUCCUUUCCAUUUCUGGACCAAGGGGCUGCCAUAAGGAGUCUGUGACUAGAGAUGGGAGGUGGUGGCCACGGCCUCUCGCUGUAUGCUGUGUGGAAGGUCGAAUCAUCAUCAUCAUAAAACUUAAUAUUGCCCUUAUGUGCCAGGAACUACUAUCUCAGCAAUGGAGAUGUGGUGCUUGGCCGCAAUCGUGAAUCGGCCCUGGAGGGGACACAGGAAGGGGCUGCCUGCGACUCAUGACCUCCUGCGUGCCUGCCUGCUGACCUAUGACCCUUCAAGUUCCCACCCCUCAGCCACGCCUGUGAGGAGACAGGGUCUUGUUUUGUCGCCUACGCUGGAGUGCAGUGGUGUGAUCACAGCUCACUGCAGCCUCAACUUCCUGGACUCAAGCGAUUUUCCUGCCUCAACCUCCCAAGAACUAGGACCCCAGGUGCAUGCCACUACACCAGGCUAAUUUGUUGUAGAGAGGAGGUCUUGCUAUGUUGCCCAGGCUGGUCUCGAACUCCUGUGCCCAAAAGAUCCUCCCACCUCAGCCUCCCAACAUGCCAGGAUUACAGGCAUGAGCCACCCUGCCCAGCUCAAUAACCUAAGUUCUAUGAAUGAAAACCAUGACUGCCUGUGGAGUGAGGGGGCCGUCAGGCUGGUGGGGAGCUGGGUGAAGACCCAGCCAGCCCAGGCCAGCUCAGGUGACCUAAUCCCCCCAGCUCCCACUUCCCCCUCCCCAAGUGGUUUGGCCGCAGAAUAAGAACAGUGCUGGGGGUGCUGAAAGAGGGGACGCAAGGCUGGGGCAAUGCAGUGGGACCCGGGGGUGUCAGGACAAGCAAGCAGCCC
rnacentral:lncRNA from 1 species